rnacentral:rRNA from 1 species
UACGUAGGGGGCAAGCGUUGUCCGGAAUCAUUGGGCGUAAAGAGCGUGUAGGCGGCCCGAUAAGUCCGCUGUGAAAGUCCAGGCUCAACCCUGGGAUGCCGGUGGAUACUGUCGGGCUCGAGUCCGGAAGAGGAGUGUGGAAUUCCUGGUGUAGCGGUGAAAUGCGCAGAUAUCUGGAGGAACACCGGUGGCGAAGGCGGCGC